rnacentral:rRNA from 1 species
GCACUUACCGAAGACUAUCAAACUCCGAAUGCCGUUUUCUUUUACUUGGGAGUCAGACUAUGGGUGAUAAGAUUCAUAGUCAAAAGGGCAACAGCCCAGAUCGUCAGCUAAGGUCCCUAAAUGUACGUUAAGUGGUAAAGGAUGUGGGAUUGCACAGACAACCAGGAUGUUGGCUUAGAAGCAGCCACUCAUUUAAAGAGUGCGUAAUAGCUCACUGGUCGAGUGAUCCUGCGCCGAAAAUUUCCGGGGCUAAAACGUACUACCGAAGCUACGGCAUCAUUUAUGAUGGGUAGGAGAGCUUCCCAUACGGGUUGAAGCAUGACCGAAAGGACAUGUGGACUGUAUGGGAGUGAGAAUGUUGGCAUGAGUAGCGAGAUGUGGGUGAGAAUCCCACAGGCCGUAAACCCAAGGUUUCCAGGGGAAGGUUCGUCCGCCCUGGGUUAGUCAGGACCUAAGCCGAGGCCGAAAGGCGUAGGUGAUGGACAACAGGUUGAUAUUCCUGUACCACCAAUAACCGUUUGAGAAAUGGGAUGACACAGUAGGAUAAGCUAACCGCACUGUUGGUUAUGUGCGGGCAAGUAUUGAGGCAGUUCCGAUAGGCAAAUCCGUCGGAAUAAUGCUGGGGUACGAUGCGGAGCGAAAUUUAGUAGCGAAGUAGCUGAUUUCACACUGUCGAGAAAAGUCUCUAUCGAGGUUAAAGGUGCCUGUACCGCAAACCGACACAGGUGGGUGAGGAGAGUAUCCUAAGGCCAGCGAGAGAACUGUUGUUAAGGAACUCGGCAAAAUGACCCCGUAACUUAGGGAGAAGGGGUGCCUUCGAAAGAAGGCCGCAGAGAAUAGGCCCAAGCGACUGUUUACCAAAAACAUAGGUUUCUGCUAAGUCGCAAGACGAUGUAUAGGAGCUGACGCCUGCCCGGUGCUGGAAGGUUAAGGGGAUCUGUUAGAGCAAUCGAAGCAGUGAACUUAAGCCCCAGUAAACGGCGGCCGUAACUAUAACGGUCCUAAGGUAGCGAAAUUCCUUGUCGGGUAAGUUCCGACCCGCACGAAAGGCGUAACGAUUUGGGCACUGUCUCAACAACAGACUCGGUGAAAUUGUAAUACCGGUGAAGAUGCCGGUUACCUGCGACAGGACGGAAAGACCCCAUGGAGCUUUACUGUAGCUUGACAUUGAGUCUCGGUGCUACAUGUACAGGAUAGGUGGGAGACUAUGAAGCAUGGACGUCAGUCUGUGUGGAGUCAUCCUUGGGAUACCACCCUUGUAGUACUGGGAUUCUAACCAGAGGCCAUGAAUCUGGUCUUGGGACACUGUCAGGUGGACAGUUUGACUGGGGCGGUCGCCUCCCAAAAAGUAACGGAGGCGCUCAAAGGUUCUCUCAGUACGGUCGGAAAUCGUACGAAGAGUGUAAAGGCAAAAGAGAGCUUGAUUGCAAGACAUACAGGUCGAGCAAGGACGAAAGUCGGACUUAGUGAUCCGGUGGUUCCGCAUGGAAGGGCCAUCGCUCA